GAUGAACGCUGGCGGCGUGCUUAACACAUGCAAGUCGAACGAAACACCUUAUUUGAUUUUCUUCGGAACUGAAGAUUUGGUGAUUGAGUGGCGGACGGGUGAGUAACGCGUGGGUAACCUGCCCUGUACAGGGGGAUAACAGUCAGAAAUGACUGCUAAUACCGCAUAAGACCACAGCACAGCAUGGUGCAGGGGUAAAAACUACGGUGGUACAGGAUGGACCCGCGUCUGAUUAGCUGGUUGGCGAGGUAACGGCUCACCAAGGCGACGAUCAGUAGCCGGCUUGAGAGAGUGAACGGCCACAUUGGGACUGAGACACGGCCCAAACUCCUACGGGAGGCAGCAGUGGGGAAUAUUGCACAAUGGGGGAAACCCUGAUGCAGCGACGCCGCGUGAGUGAAGAAGUAUCUCGGUAUGUAAAGCUCUAUCAGCAGGGAAGAAAAUGACGGUACCUGGCUAAGAAGCCCCGACUAACUACGUGCCAGCCGCCGCAGUAAGAC
rnacentral:rRNA from 1 species